GACAGAGGUGCCGAGCGUUAGGCGGAAUCACUGGGCUUAAAGCGUGUGUAGGCGGAUGGGUAAGUACCUUGUGAAAUCCCACGGCUCAACCGUGGAACUGCUCGGUAUACUGCUCGUCUUGAGCCAACUAGGGGCGACCGGAACAAACGGUGGAGCGGUGAAAUGCGUAGAUAUCGUUUGGAACGCCGAUGGUGAAAACAGGUCGCUGGGGUUGUGCUGACGCUGAGGCACGAAAGCCAGGGGAGCGAACGGG
rnacentral:rRNA from 1 species